rnacentral:rRNA from 1 species
UACGUAGGAUGCAAGCGUUGUCCGGAAUUAUUGGGCGUAAAGAGCUCGUAGGCGGUUCGUCGCGUCGGCUGUGAAAACCUGAGGCUCAACCUCAGGCCUGCAGUCGAUACGGGCGUACUUGAGUACUGCAGGGGAGACUGGAAUUCCUGGUGUAGCGGUGAAAUGCGCAGAUAUCAGGAGGAACACCGGUGGCGAAGGCGGGUCUCUGGACAGUUCCUGACGCUGAUGCACGAAGGCCAGGGGAGCAAACGGG